GAUGAACGCUGGCGGUAUGCUUAACACAUGCAAGUCGAACGCAGUGCUUCGGCACUGAGUGGCGGACGGGUGAGUAACGCGUGAGAAUCUGGCUUCGGGUUCGGGACAACAGUGGGAAACUGCUGCUAAUACCGGAUGUGCCUGUGGGUAAAAGAUUAAUUGCCCGAAGAUGAGCUCGCGUCCGAUUAGCUAGUUGGUGUGGUAAGAGCGCACCAAGGCGACGAUCGGUAGCUGGUCUGAGAGGACGAUCAGCCACACUGGGACUGAGACACGGCCCAGACUCUUACGGGAGGCAGCAGUGGGGAAUUUUCCGCAAUGGGCGAAAGCCUGACGGAGCAAUACCGCGUGAGGGAGGAAGGCUCUUGGGUUGUAAACCUCUUUUCUUAGGGAAGAACACUGACGGUACCUAAGGAAUCAGCAUCGGCUAACUCCGUGCCAGCAGCCGCGGUAAUACGGAGGAUGCAAGCGUUAUCCGGAAUGAUUGGGCGCAAAGCGUCCGUAGGUGGCCGCUUCAAGUCUGCUGUCAAAGACUGGGGCUUAACCCUGGAAAGGCAGUGGAAACUGAACAGCUAGAGUGCGAUAGGGGUAGAGGGAAUUCCUGGUGUAGCGGUGAAAUGCGUAGAGCUCAGGAAGAACACCGGUGGCGAAAGCGCUCAGCUAGGUCGCAACUGACACUGAUGGACGAAAGCUAGGGGAGCGAAUGGGAUUAGAUACCCCAGUAUUCCUAGCCGUAAACGAUGGAUAUUUGGAGAUGAGAGUAUCGGCCCUAUACAAGUACUGUAGAAAAUCGCGUUAAGUAUCCCGCAUGGGGAGUACGCUUGCAAUGAGUGAAACUCAAAGGAAUUGACGGGGGCCCCGCACAAGCGGUGGAGUAUGUGGUUAAUUACGAUGCAACGUGAAGAACUUAAUCAGGGCUUGACAUGUCCGGAAUCUUGCUGAAAGGUGGGAGUGCCUACGGGAGCCGGAACACAGGUGGUGCAUGGCUGUCGUCAGCUCGUGUACGUGAGAUGUUGGGUUAAGUCCCGCAACGAGCGCAACCCUCGUUCUUAGUAGCCAGCAUUAAGUUGGGCACUCUAGGGAGACUGCCGGAGACAAACCGGAGGAAGGUGGGGAUGACGUCAAGUCAGCAUGCCCCUUACGUCCUGGGCAACACACGUACUACAAUGCUGCGGACAAAGGGCAGCAAGCAUGCGAAUGCAAGCUAAUCUCAUAAACCGUGGCUCAGUUCAGAUCGCAGGCUGCAACUCGCCUGCGUGAAGGCGGAAUCGCUAGUAAUCCCAGAUCAGCACGCUGGGGUGAAUACGUUCCCGGGCCU
rnacentral:rRNA from 1 species